CGGAACUAGCUUGCUAGUUUGUCAGCUAAGUGGCGCACGGGUGAGUAAUAUAUAGUUAAUCUGCCCCAAAGAAGAGAAUAAUUGUUGGAAACGACUUGUAAUGCUCUAUAUGCCUUUAAGACAUAAGUCUGCAAGGGAAAUAUUUAUAGCUUUGGGAUGAGACUGUACGGUAUCAGUUUGUUGGUGAGGUAAUGGCUCACCAAGACUAUGACGCCUAACUGGUUUGAGAGGAUGAUCAGUCACACUGGAACUGAGACACGGUCCAGACUCCUACGGGAGGCAGCAGUGGGGAAUAUUGCACAAUGGACGAAAGUCUGAUGCAGCAACGCCGCGUGGAGGAUGACACAUUUCGGUGCGUAAACUCCUUUUAUAUGAGAAGAUAAUGACGGUAUCAUAUGAAUAAGCACCGGCUAACUUCGUGCCAGCAGCCGCGGUAAUACGAGGGGUGCAAGCGUUACUCGGAAUCACUGGGCGUAAAGAGCAUGUAGGCGGGUAGUUAAGUUGGAAGUGAAAUCCUAUGGCUCAACCAUAGAACUGCUUCCAAAACUGAUUAUCUAGAGUAUGGGAGAGGUAGAUGGAAUUUC
rnacentral:rRNA from 1 species